rnacentral:misc_RNA from 1 species
CCGUGGUCAAUCGACGGCUCGUCUGAAAUGCUUCAGUGUACCCCCGCUUUGCGGCGUAUUCGGUGUGAUACAUCUUCACCGGAGUUGAUCCUUUUGGGUCGCGUCUGUAAUGGUGUGGCUCUAUGCUUCCAACCGUCCACCGGGUGGACAAUCUCUGACAAUUUGACCUCAAAUCGGGUGGGACUACCCGCUGAACUUAA